rnacentral:rRNA from 1 species
CAGCAGCCACGGGAAUACGUAGGUGGCAAGCGUUGUCCGGAAUUAUUGGGCGUAAAGGGCUCGCAGGCGGUUUCUUAAGUCUGAUGUGAAAGCCCCCGGCUCAACCGGGGAGGGUCAUUGGAAACUGGGAAACUUGAGUGCAGAAGAGGAGAGUGGAAUUCCACGUGCAGCGGUGAAAUGCGUAGAGAUGUGGAGGAACACCAGUGGCGAAGGCGACUCUCUGGUCUGUAACUGACGCUGAGGAGCGAAAGCGUGGGGAGCGAACAGGAUUAGAGACCCCUGUAGUCCCUGUCUCUUAUAA